rnacentral:rRNA from 1 species
GAUGAACGCUGGCGGCGUGCCUAACACAUGCAAGUCGAGCGAACAGACGAGGAGCUUGCUCCUCUGACGUUAGCGGCGGACGGGUGAGUAACACGUGGAUCACCUACCUAUAUUACUGGGAUAAUUACGGGAAACCGGAUCUAAUACCAGAUAAUAUAUUGAACCGCAUGGUUCAAUAGAGAAUGACGGUUUUGCUGUCUCUAAUAGAUGGUUCCGCGCCGCAUUAGCUAGUUGGUAAGGUAACGGCUUACCAAGGCAACGAUGCGUAGCCGACCUGAGGGGGGGAUCGGCCACACUGAAACUGAGAGGCGGCCCAGACUCCUACGGGAGGCAGAGGUAGGGAAUCUAGCGCAAUGGGCGAAAGCCUGACGGAGCAACGCCGGGUGGGUGAUGAAGGGCUUCGGAUGGUAAGACUCUGUUAUUAGGGAAGAACAAAUGUGUAAGUAACGAUGCACGUCUGAAGGUUACCGAAGCAGAAGGACACGGUUAACUACUU